AUUGAACGCUGGCGGCAUGCCUUACACAUGCAAGUCGAACGGUAGAGGGGGCAACCCCUUGAGAGUGGCGAACGGGUGAGUAAAGCAUCGGAACGCGCCCAGGAGUGGGGGAUAGCUCGGCGAAAGCCGGAUUAAUACCGCAUGUGACCUGAGGGUGAAAGCGGGGGACCGCAAGGCCUCGCGCUCGUGGAGCGGCCGAUGUCAGAUUAGGUAGUUGGUGGGGUAAAGGCCUACCAAGCCGACGAUCUGUAGCUGGUCUGAGAGGACGACCAGCCACACUGGGACUGAGACACGGCCCAGACUCCUACGGGAGGCAGCAGUGGGGAAUUUUGGACAAUGGGCGCAAGCCUGAUCCAGCCAUGCCGCGUGCGGGAAGAAGGCCUUCGGGUUGUAAACCGCUUUUGUCAGGGAAGAAAUCUGCCGGGUUAAUACCCUGGUGGGAUGACGGUACCUGGAGAAUAAGCACCGGCUAACUACGUGCCAGCAGCCGCCGUAA
rnacentral:rRNA from 1 species